rnacentral:lncRNA from 1 species
UUUUGGAUCUUGGAUCAUGGUUGCAUCUUGGAUGAGGUUUAGAUCGUGGAUGAAGUUUGGAAGCUUUUUUUGGGUGGAAAGAUCCAAAUUUCCAAUUGGGAUGAAACAGAACUUGUGGAUUCUCCACUGCCAAACCCUGUAAAUAGGAAGGGGUGUGACAAAAUCUGACUUAAUUAAUUAAUUCAUUAAUGUGCUUUUUCAUUUUGCUGCUUUCCAGCCCAUGAAUUCCCUCUCCAGCUCUUUCCCUAAAAUCCUUUGGAACUGAUCCUGAUUUUUUUGUUUAUUUGCACUCAGUGGUGAUGAAACAUUUCAAGGCCUCUCCAGAAUUCCUAAAAAAAAAAAGGGAAUAUUUUCAAUUAAAGUCUGAAGUUUACACUUGGCUCUGUUGAGAGCAGGGAUUCCUAAAUUAUUGAUAUUCCAUAGGAAAAAUUCCCAUUUCAUCAAUCCCUACCUUUUCCAGCUAUUUUACCUCCAAGGAGCCAUUGUUAAAUAUAUUUUUUAAAUUAUUUUUUAGAUUUUAAAUAUUUUUGGUGUUGCUUUCAAAUCCAACACUUUCAGUGCAAUAUUUUCAAACAGUGAAGCUUCAAAUCCUUGGAUUCAGUGGGAAUUUUUCCCAUUUUUUUGGAAUCCAGCCUGAUUUUGGGAGAAAAAGACACCGAACCACGUCGAGGGUGUUGUUUGCAAGGUGCCAAAUGUGGAAAAAGGACCCAAAAUGGAGCUUCCGGAGACGUCGGGGAUGGCUCCCAUCUGGAACAACCUGAACUUCCCCAUGGAUCAUCAGAGGAGCCUGGAGAUUCCUGGAUUUGGGAAUUUUUCCUUACCCACAUCCUCUCCAGAGCCUUUCCAGCUCCCGGAGGUGGAGGAAUCCAGGAUCUGGAGCCAAGGGGAAGUGAGCAGGAAUCUCUGGGAUGUCACCCCAAAACAGCAGCUCAGAAGGGUUUGGAGCACAGAAAAUGCUUCAGCUUGCUUCCAGCUGGGCUCCAGAGCUUCGCUUCCAAUGGCAUGGAAAACCAACUGGAAUACCAGAUAUAACACCUGGAUCUUUCUCUUCAUAAAUCCUGGGGAUGAUUCUGCUACAGAAGUUCACCAAGUUAUUGAAAAUAUUAAUUAUCAAUUUCACAUUACAAAUUUCAUCCAUUAAAAUAUCCAUAUUUGGGAGAACCUUUAUUUUUAACCUCUUUUCCUAUUUUUAAAGCAAUCUGCAG